CCAGACUCCUACGGGAGGCAGCAGUGGGGAAUAUUGCACAAUGGGGGAAACCCUGAUGCAGCGACGCCGCGUGAGCGAAGAAGUAUUUCGGUAUGUAAAGCUCUAUCAGCAGGGAAGAAAAAAUGACGGUACCUGACUAAGAAGCACCGGCUAAAUACGUGCCAGCAGCCGCGGUAAUACGUAUGGUGCAAGCGUUAUCCGGAUUUACUGGGUGUAAAGGGAGCGCAGGCGGUACGGCAAGUCUGAUGUGAAAGCCCAGGGCUCAACCCCGGUACUGCAUUGGAAACUGUCGGACUAGAGUGUCGGAGGGGUAAGUGGAAUUCCUAGUGUAGCGGUGAAAUGCGUAGAUAUUAGGAGGAACACCAGUGGCGAAGGCGGCUUACUGGACGAUUACUGACGCUGAGGCUCGAAAGCGUGGGGAGCAAACAGGAUUAGAUACCCUGGUAGC
rnacentral:rRNA from 1 species